GGCGGGGCGGGCGCUGUCGCCGCCUCACUCUCCCCGGCGCCUCAGGGCGAGCUGCGGCCGCACCCGCCUCGCGCUCCCCGCCCGAGAAGCGGCCCCGCGUGCCGGCCCCGGCCCUCGCUCGCACCAGCGUCCGUUUAGUGCUUAGGGAAAAAAGAGAAACUCGCCCAGAUGAAGUUCUGGGCGGAAAAUCCUGGCGGCCAACCUGGCGAGCCGCCGCGUUGUGCUCCUCGCCCUCCAGCCAGGCAGGGAGGUGCCAGCCCGGCCCCACGGGGAAGCCGAGCUCCCCGGGACAAAGGGCUCUGGGGAGUGCUAGAGCUCCCACGACGAGGAAAGUUUUCCCCAACAGGUGAAACGGCACUUGUUACUCUCGAACAAGCAGGCACUCCUCCACUGGUUUCAACUGCUGCAGAGCUGAGUUCUUCCUUAAGUUUGUCGAGAACCUGGAUUUUCAGCAUCGCAUUAGCAGCCCUCGCUAUCCUCAGAGCAAUGGAGAAGCUGAGAGAGCACUACAGACCCUGACACAGCGUCCACUUAAAUUCAGAGAUACCUUUCUGGCACUCCUAACGUAUCAAUCUACACCACUGGUUCUCUCUGGCUGAACUGCUCAUGGGAUGAUGGUUUCGGACACCAUUACCUAUGUCUACUGAGAGCAGCAGCGAGGGCUCGUGGAGGUCCCUUCCAGCCCUGCUUCUCUAGAGGCAGUGGUGACACAUAGGGGGUGCACGAGGGUACACGUGCACCCGUUGCGAGCGCUGGUGCACCCCCUUGACAGGCCGUGUUCCCCAGUUAGGUGAUAGGCAGGAGGAGCAGGUGUCAGUACCAGUGCGAAUGCCAGCCAGAGAGUGGGAGCACUGCAGCCACUUCUGGGAGCACCGUGGCCACUUCCAGGAGUGGGGCCACAGCCACUUUCCAAUCAGCGCAAUCGGCCGCGAGGGGACCCUCCCCCUGGUCGGUAAGAUUGGCCGCGGGGGGGUAACCCCACGCCCAGUCAACAAGAUUGUGAUGUUGACCCCUCCACCCCGUGACUAACUAGUUGCCCCCCUUGAAUAAGGCAACGCCAGUUGCCCAUGUCCAGAGGUCAUCUAGUCCAGUGUUUCUCAACCAGUGGGACAUGUCCCACAGGUGGGACAGGAAGGUUACAUAGGUGGGACUUCAACUCAUUGCCUGAUUGGAAAAAAUCCAGGUCGUUUGCACUUCAAAUAAAUGAAUCAACAUAUAUCUUGAA